UGCGGGUCCUUUGGGCCAACCUCCCAUCCGUGUCUAUUGUACCCUGUUGCUUCGGCGGGCCCGCCGCUUGUCGGCCGCCGGGGGGGCGCCUCUGCCCCCCGGGCCCGUGCCCGCCGGAGACCCCAACACGAACACUGUCUGAAAGCGUGCAGUCUGAGUUGAUUGAAUGCAAUCAGUUAAAACUUUCAACAAUGGAUCUCUUGGUUCCGGCAUCGAUGAAGAACGCAGCGAAAUGCGAUAACUAAUGUGAAUUGCAGAAUUCAGUGAAUCAUCGAGUCUUUGAACGCACAUUGCGCCCCCUGGUAUUCCGGGGGGCAUGCCUGUCCGAGCGUCAUUGCUGCCCUCAAGCCCGGCUUGUGUGUUGGGUCGCCGUCCCCCUCUCCGGGGGGACGGGCCCGAAAGGCAGCGGCGGCACCGCGUCCGAUCCUCGAGCGUAUGGGGCUUUGUCACAUGCUCUGUAGGAUUGGCCGGCGCCUGCCGACGUUUUCCAACCAUUCUUUCCAGGUUGACCUCGGAUCAGGUAGGGAUACCCGCUGAACUUAAGCAUAUCAAUAAGCGGAGGAA
rnacentral:rRNA from 1 species